rnacentral:rRNA from 1 species
AUUGAACGCUGGCGGCAUGCUUUACACAUGCAAGUCGAACGGUAACAGGCCGCAAGGUGCUGACGAGUGGCGAACGGGUGAGUAAUGCAUCGGAACGUGCCCAGUCGUGGGGGAUAACGCAGCGAAAGCUGCGCUAAUACCGCAUACGAUCUGUGGAUGAAAGCGGGGAACCGUAAGGCCUGGCGCGAUUGGAGCGGCCGAUGUCAGAUUAGGUAGUUGGUGGGGUAAAGGCUAACCAAGCCGACGAUAUGUAGCUGGUCUGAGAGGACGACCAGCCACACUGAGACUGAGACACGGCCCAGACUCCUACGGGAGGCAGCAGUGGGGAAUUUUGGACAAUGGGCGCAAGCCUGAUCCAGCAAUGCCGCGUGCAGGAAGAAGGCCUUCGGGUUGUAAACUGCUUUUGUACGGAACGAAACGGUCCUGGUUAAUACCCGGGGCUAAUGACGGUACCGUAAGAAUAAGCACCGGCUAACUACGUGCCAGCCGCCGCGGUAACAC